UAGGGAAUCUUCGGCAAUGGACGAAAGUCUGACCGAGCAACGCCGCGUGAGUGAAGAAGGUUUUCGGAUCGUAAAUCUCUGUUGGUAGAGAAGAACGUUGGUGAGAGUGGAAAGCUCAUCAAGUGACGGUAACUACCCAGAAAGGGACGGCUAACUACGUGCCAG
rnacentral:rRNA from 1 species